CGUCGAUGGCACAGCCAUAUGGUGAGUAAAUCAUAUGAAGGUUGCAUAUGAUCAUUUAUCUCUUUUAUUUAUUUUUCUUCUCUUUGUUCACUUCUUUUUGUGGCAUCUCGCGGCUCUACAUGGCGAUCUAAUCGUCGCCGUGGAUGUCUUAUCGUUUGAUCUACAACAAAAAUCGGCGGUGUCCCGCGGCUCUACAUGACGAUCUAGUCGUCGCUGUGGAUAUCUCAUCGUUUGAUCUACAACAAAAAUCGGCAGUGUCCCGCGGCUCUACAUGGCGAUCUAAUCGUCGUCGCGGGUGUUUCCUUGUUUGAUCUAUAGAAAGAAUUCGGCGGCAUCCGCGGCUCUACAUGGCGAUCUAAUCGUCGCCGCGGACGUUCUAUCACCCGAUCUACAGAAAAACAGUUUGAUGGCAUCCCGUGGCUCUACAUGGCGAUCAAGUCGUCGCCACGGAUGUUUAUGGUUUGAUCAGUAAAAGGAAAAGGGAAGGUUAUGAUGUUUCGUGGCUCUACCUGACGCUUCAAUCGUCGCCGUAAACAUUUCAUGGUGUGGAGUCACAAGGGAAAGCAAUAUAGCUUUACAAAAAGAAUCAACAUCAUCGUCCAGCAUACAUCAUAUAUUCAGAGGUAGCAAGGGGGUCACGUGAUAUACAAAGGAUGGUUUCUCAUCAUGAGAUAAUCCAAUAUUAAUAAAGACAUGGCUACCUACUCUGGAAUAAACAAGACGCCAUUGACAAAAUUCUGCAGAACCAUGUUUCUCCAUCAGAUGAGGGUUCAUCUUCAAGUCCAUGCUCAAUACACUUUCUUCCGCGACCGACGAGGCCGAAACUUACAUACACUUCCUGGCCGACGAGGCAGGAUACAUCAUGUUCGUGGCCGACGAGGCCGAACGAUCCACUUUAUUUUCUCUUUGAGACUUGAUCUAUAUCCCUUGUUUGAUUUGGUGCAUGAAUCCAUAAAUUUUUAGCAUGGCGAGAUUAUUGUUUUGCUCAGAGCGUUUGCAUAUUCUUUUUGCCUUGGAGACAGAAGCCAGGAGUUUGAUAAUGAUGAUGACCGUUUGAGGCACCUUAAUCGGAGGUCUUUUCAUAGAUAUGCUAUGAAUGUAAUUAACUAGAGAUCCCUUCGAGGUUCUAGGAGUCGAGAAUUACGCAAUUGUCUUUUAUAUGUCAGAUGCUAUACCAAGAGCAUGUAAAAUGAGAUUUGUAUAUCUUCAGCAAUAAAGACUACAAGUUUCUCCGCAUAAUUUUGUGUGCUUUAUUUUAUUUUGUUUUAAUUCGUAUACACUCGUAUACUGGCACGCCCGCACUUAAAACGCCAACACGGAUAAAUUUGAUAUUUAUCUCGCAUAAAACAAAUGGCACGCCCAGUGGGACUCGACUCUCCUCCCAUCUUCGCUGCUCGUCAUCAGUCAUCAGAAUCUACUCAUGAUCUGUCUCCUCGGCACUUUUUUUUUGGCUGAUAAUGUGGUGUGGUGAAGUGCUAACCAGUGUACAUCUCGCGCAGAUGGGGGCUUCACCAACUAUGGACCGAAGGCUGACGCAAAGCAAAUGGAGCCUUUUGUUUUUUGGUUUGGUUCAUUACCACCAGUUGUAGUUUCAAGCUUUGGCUCCAACAUGUAUGUGUACCAGGCAGACCACUCCUCAGACUUAGAUGACGCCAAGAAAGUUCAGAAGUACGUGGAUGCAAGGGCUAGGGGAGAGUGUCAAGCAUUAAUGACGGAUGCUAGGAAGUUACUGAAAUUCCCAGGAGCCGUUCUGAACGCCGGCUAUAAGCAACGCCUCUCAGUGUUCAAAACCAAAACUACACAUACUACCGAAGCUGAACUCCUUCAAGAACUGGAAAACGUCAAGCAACACCUGAAUUCUAGUAUUGCACGUGCUCGAACUCUGAACAAAAAGAACGCACACCGCAAUUACAGAAGGAAGAGGCAACAAGUGAAGAAGUUGCAGUCACAUUUAAGGGCUCGCGUUGCCGGGCGUGAUGCACCAUCUGAGAGUUCAGAUGUGAGUAGGCGUCAGGAUCAACAGUACACUGAUAUGAGCGAUGAGUUUCUUGUUCUUUCUCCUGAACGAGGGGCCAGUUGUGAGCUGGUCAAAGAAACCAUAAUGAAUGAAUUUUGGAGACGCAUCAUUAAGGAGCGAACAUGGUCAAGAUUGUGUUCUCAACGAAGUUCUAUCAGUCGGGAUCAACAAGUACGGGUACCUUGUUUCCAGACCUCAGAGAGACAUCACUCUACUUCGCAGAACAAUAACAGGUUUGCUGUUUUAACCAAUGAAACACCAGCGCCCAGAGCAGAGGAACUCCGACUUCAGUUAGAACAGAUGCAACAUCAGAUUAGAGCAAUGCAAAGCAGACUUCAAAAUGAACAUCAGCAUCUUCCACCUAGGAACAGACCAUUAUCCGCAUACGCUCAUUAUCGUGAAAACACUCCCUGGCCACAUGGGAAUCGUCGAGAUCGUUGCCACCCUCUGCCUGAAACAAGAAGAUACAAGCCUCAGUGGCGAGUGAAAGCAUCUUCGCAAAACAUUGAGUCCUCAAACCGGGUUCCGCAGCAGUUUGCUCUACCAAGGCAACAUGACCCCAUGACGGCAGCACCUUGGAAACAUGCAAGGUAUUCACGGGGGGCACCGACCUUUGAUGCAACCCCAAGGGUCCCUUAUGCAUCGACAGUUAAUCAGCGUAAACGUGAGAGAAGGAGGAGGACUCGUGAAGCGAUGUAUCAAGAAUUGCAAGAUUUGGUGCUAAGACACGUGCAGGUCCGUGUGAGGGCUGAUGGCCGAAUUUAUAAGGAUAAUGAAAGUGUAACGCUUCAGAUUUAUCCAAAUUUGAAAAGAAAUGAGAGAUAUAAUGCAUUGAUAGGGCAUCUGGCUCCCAAACCACUAAGGGUUGAGCAAAGGAACCUCAGUACAGAAAGGCCAAGAGGUGGUUCUCAUUCAGCUCCACAAGGAUCAAAUAAUGCGUUGAUCCCUCGAGAUAACGGAUCAAACACUACUAGGUUCAGGAAUGAUGGGAAUGGAAGAAGGCGAUCUGGCAAGGAUUUAAACAUGAUUAAUAAUGUAGCAUGUCGUGUGGCGACAGUCCGGUCGGUGCAAAAUUCAGAUUCAGAGUGGGAGCCGCCACUUGUUCGUCAUGAGUUCUCUUACUCGUCAGACGAGGAAAUCCUGCCUAAUCCUACUCCAUCAUUCAUGAGAAAUUCGCCCUGUGCAAAAGAACAUCUAAGAAAGCAUGAUGUGAUAAAACAGAGGAAUGGUGCGAUGGUAACAGCAUCAUGUCUUCCGUUGACAUCAAGGGGUGAUAAAACUCCGGAAGAUAAAAUUUUGUUACGCACAAGCGAGUAUAGCAGACCUUAUGCCAGUAUUAGUUCUCGUCUUCCUGUUGAUCAGAAUCGGGUCCAACAAAUUGCAGAAUGCUAUGGGGCACUUACACGGUUGAGAAAAGUGGCUCGACAAACUAUAAAUGCAGAUUUUGAUCCCACGGAUGAACAAACUAGUGAUGAAAGAUCAGACACGGAGUCAUCCUCGUCACUACCAAAGGUUGGCGCCUCAGAGCCUUUGGAUGAUGAGGAUGUUGCACGGGCAAUUAAUCUUGCGUCAGUUCAUGUCCAUACUAAUCAGGACGAGCUAGGUCUGGCAGCCAUUGCACAAGAUGAUGCAGGGAAACAACAUGACUUGCCACCAGAACCAGUUGUGACUGAAGAAGAGAGGGCUCGAUCUUUACACCAUCAAGAAGGAACUUCAGGUGCUCUAAACGGGGAAGCAUGUAGAAGGAUGGAUGCUAUUGAUACAAAGAUCGAUCAACUAUUUAAUAUGAUUGCAAAACUUGCUGUAAAUGGGACGCAAUCUGCUAAUCCUCCACCACAAGUGGUGGAUCCACAAAUUGCCGAGUUGGAAGCUAUGGCACAACACCAGCAUACGCCUCGUGCAACAGGUGGAGUUGAGCAGCCUCAAUUCACAGGAGGGGUGCAUCUAAAUAUGCCAAUUGCAUCUACACAUCCUAUAUCAGCAGCUCCUGCAUUAGGGACACUAAGAGAUUAUCAUGACAUCGCUGAAGAGUUGAUCAACAGAAAAAUGAAGCAAAUUGCAGAAGAACAAACACCUAGAACCUUUGAAAGUGAGUUGGAGAAGCCAUAUGAGGCGUGGCAUGACAAGGUAGCUUUUCCUGCUGGAUGGCGUCCACCAAAAUUCAGGCAAUUUGAUGGUAAUGGUGAUGCAAGGGAACACCUCGUCUAUUUUGAAGCAGCGUGUGGUGACACAGCCAAUUCGCCCUCACUUUUACUUCGUCAGUUUUCCCUUCUUUAAGCCUUUCCUUCUGCUUCCAUCGAGAAAUAUAUAUAGAUAAGCUUGGAGAAGCGAUUAAGGUGUUUCCACUCUUAGGUUGUCAUCAUUGACAGGUCCGGCCUUUCAUUGGUAUAGUCGCUUACCUGCUGGUUCAGUACGCAGUUGGCAAACAAUGAAGGAUCUUUUUAAAUCUCAUUUCAUUAGCAUGAGCAAAGAUACAUCCCUUUUGGAGUUGUCACAGCUUAAACAAAGAAGAGAUGAAAAGAUAGAUGACUAUAUCGUCCGAUUUCGUAACAGUUAUGUGCGCUUGACUAGAGAGAUGCACCCAGAAGAUGUUGUCGACAUGUGUGUGCACGGAAUGCAGCAACAUUGGUCGUUAGAGGUUUCUAGGCGCGAGCCUAAAACUUUCAGUGCACUUGGUAAUGCUGUUGCUGCCACCAAAUUAGAAUUUGAGAAGGCUCCACAUAUUAUGGAGUUAUACAAAAAUGCAGGCACUUCAGAUUACUCGAAGAAGUUUCAGUCAACGGCAAAACCAUUUAAUAAUGGGAAUAAGCCUAAAAUACAAGCAGAAAGUAAUACUAUCAGGCUAUCUACGAUGGCUGUAGCACCUCGCCAAAAUAUGCAGGCUCUUGGAGUAAGGAAUGAACAGGGGCAGAGAACCCGCCCUAGUAUUCAAGAAUUGCUUAAAAAGCAAUAUAUAUUCAGGAGAGAGUUUGUUAAAAAUUUCUUUAAUCAGCUAUCACAACAAGGGGCUUUGAACUUGCCUGAACCGCGGCGGCCCGACCAGGCGGGAAUGACAGACAAUCCGUUAUAUUGCCCGUAUCAUCGAUACGUUGGUCAUGUAGUAGAAGAUUGCGUCGCUUUUAAAGAAUGGUUGCAAAGGGCAAUCGAUGAGAAGAAGUUGAAUCUUGAUCCGCAAGCCGUGAAUCCUGAUUAUCAUCAAGUAAACAUGGUGUCCACUAAUAAAGCAGAGGUACUACAGAAACAUGGUUCAGAAGAGGCAUAUUGGAUGCCAUUUUCUGAAGUUCAACAUCAGUUUCAGGGACUUCGGCUUACACCUAUAGUUUCAGAAGAUAGCUCACACCCUUGGAGCAGAGUUCAUCAUAGACGUAAUAAAACAAAGGUGCAUCAGGGAACCAUGAGCUCUCCGUCCAUCUUACAAUAUACGUCAGCAAAUAGAGGGAGUCCCAACCCGAGUCAUCGCCGUAUGCCGCCAAGAUUUAUUCCUAGGUCUGAAGGGAAUGAAUCUUUUCCUCGGACAAGGCGUGUACAUCCCACUUUAGCCCAGUUUUUCCCGCAAAGCUGGGACCAGUCACACCAUGAUGUAAAAAAUGAUUUGCUCGGAUGGACCACAAUUAAGUACUGAGAAUGCUACAUGCAACAUGGUUGCCUCUAGUGGAAGUACAAAUGACUCAGAGACUGAAGUAGUGUUCACAAAGGAAGAAUGUGAGGCAUUGCAAACUGAUACGUCACUGGAGAAACAAGAAAUGGAGGUACAUAUGAACUUGCGGGCAGGAAAGGUACUACCGGAGCCCAUGAGAAGUAAGCAGUACCGAACAGAGAAAGAUAAACCAUCCACAAGUAGGGAGGCAACUGUCUCGAACAAUCAACAAGAGAAGUCGAGGGACGAGGAGGCAAAAGAGCAUGAUGUCGAAUAUAAUGUCAUUGCUCAUUUGAAGCGGAUUCCAGCACUACUAAGCGUUUAUGAUGCAUUAGUGCUUCUGCCGGAACUUAGAGAGGCUCUUAUUAAAGCUUUGCAAAAGCCUGAACAUUAUCAAGCGGCAAUGGCCAAGCACAGACUCUUUGACAAUCUACUCUAUGCUAAUCAGAUAACCUUUUCUGAUGAGGACCAAAUAAUGGAGCAUGGUGAUCACAAUCGCCCCCUCUAUAUUGAGGGAAAUAUUGGAGCUGCACAUCUUCGAAGAAUAUUGAUCGAUCCUGGCUCUGCUGUGAACAUCCUGCCUGUACGAAGCUUAACUCGAGCAGGGUACAUAAUGGAUGAUCUAAGCCCCACCGAGGUAGUAAUUUGUGGGUAUGAUAAUCAUGCCAAGCCCGCCUUAGGUGUUAUCACUCUUAAGUUGCAGAUGGCAUCUUACAGUUUCAAAGUUAAGUUCUUCGUUAUAGAGGCCAAUGCUUCAUACUCUGCACUUUUGGGGCGACCAUGGAUACAUAAAUAUCGUGUAGUCCCUUCAACACUGCAUCAAUGUCUAAAGUUCAUGGAUGGCAAUGGAGAACAACAAUGUAUCGCUGGGAAUACUGCUCCUUAUACAAUUCAAGAAGUUCACCAUGCCGAUGCUAAAUAUUAUUUCCCGAGUAUCGAGUCAAGGAAACAGCAGGGACGAACAACACCUAAUGCUGAUGUGUUAGUCACGCCGGAUGCUACAUCAUCCCUCACGGAAAUGAAAUUUCUAAUCACACCUUGCUCAGCCCACUCAAGAGAUACUGCUUUGAUAAGGAAGUCACGAGAUCAGCAAUGUGGUAAUGCAAAUACGAGAGCAGAAGGUUCAUCAUCUAGGCCUACAGGACGGGUUUUGUCUGCGACUACGCCAAUCUUGUUAGCAACAGACACUGCUUCAUCUACUAGCUCAUCAAUGGAGGUAGGGGUCACAAGAGGGCGCGCUUUAUCAGUCACUGCUCCUAUUUUGUUAAAGGCACAUGCUCCAACGACUGCUAUUCCUGUGGUUCUCACAAAGAAAUUGGAUGAGGAACUUUCAGGCACAACGUUGAGGGUUCCAGAUUUGCUUAUGCAACCCCCCUCACUAUAUGUUUCAGUUACCACACCAUUGGAUGUUUUGUCUGUUCAAAAAGAAAGUGAGAAUACCUUGCCUACUAUUUUUUUAAAGGUCCCAGAAAAGCGACCAUGUGAUGACAUAUAUAAGCAGUCUGAUCGGGUUCUUGCCAUUGAAGAAACACUCAUGACUAUGAAAGUUGAGGACAGGAUGAUUCCAUUAUUAAAAAAGGCAGGAAUUUUGGUACAACCAAACAGCAGGCUACCACCACCACCAGUUAUUUGUGAAGAAUGGUGGGAACAAGCAGAGAAUUUAAUUAGGAAGAGAAGUACAGUUCAACCAAAGUAUGGUCUUGGUUAUAAUGAGGCCGUUUCUUCAGAUGACGAUGAAGAUUUAUGUAUGGUACAACGAGUUAAUAGUUGCGUGACCUCUUCGGUUAGAAAUGAAGAUUAUCUUGGUUUAGAUGAAGCAUCUUCAGAUGAUGACGAGCUUAUGCCAAUAUAUUCAUGUCCGUAUCAACCACGUUCCUUUGAAGCCGCGGCAAAUGCUUGUGAAGGUUUGAGAAAUAAACAAUAUCUCCUCUCCAAGAUGCAUGAGGCCAUGCCAGUGGCUCAUGGAGAGGUUCUCGAUGCCACUCCUGCUCCCCAGCAACUCGAAGAUGAUAUUCAGCUUACCGUUGAUGAGUUAGUUGAAAUCAAUUUAGGUACCGAGGAAGACCCCAGACCUACAUAUGUGAGUGUAUCCCUUACCCAAGAAGAGCGAGAAAUGUAUAGGGCAUUCCUGAUGGAAUAUCGGGAUUGUUUUGCUUGGUCAUAUAAGGAAAUGCCUGGACUUGACCCCCAAGUUGCUACACACAAAUUAGCAAUCGAUCCACAAUUUCGUCCAGUAAAGCAAUUACCAAGGCGCUUUCGUCCUGAAUUGCAGGAUCAAAUAGUAGAUGAAGUGGAUAAACUGAUUGCCGCGGGUUUCAUAAAAGAAGUACGAUACCCUCGAUGGCUGGCCAAUAUUGUGCCAGUAGAGAAGAAGAAUGGGCAAAUACGAAUCUGUGUCGAUUUUCGUGAUCUCAAUCGGGCUUGCCCUAAGGAUGACUUCCCCAUCCCAAUGACGGAGAUGGUGAUUGAUUCAACAACAGGAUAUGGUGCUCUUUCUUUCAUGGAUGGAUUUUCCGGAUAUAAUCAGAUUAAGAUGGAUGAACGUGAUGCCAUCGACACGGCUUUUAGAACGCCCAGGGGCAAUUUCUAUUAUACAGUAAUGCCGUUUGGUUUAAAAAAUGCUGGUUCUACCUACCAGAGGGCCAUGACUCACAUGCUUGGUGACCUCAUACAUCGGUCUGAUUGAGUGUUACAUUGAUGAUAUGGUAGUAAAGAGUAGAACAAGGAAGGCACAUGGAGGAUCUUCAGGUCGUGUCUAAAAGAAUGAGGAAGCAUCAAUUGAAGAUGAACCCCCUCAAAUAUGUUUUCGCUGUUCAGUCAGGGAAAGCUGGCAUAUAUUCGGCGUUUCAUAUCGGAUCCCUCGGGUCGAAUCCAGCCAUUCUCCAAACUCAUGAAGAGGGGCGCCUACGUGUACUUCAAAAUCUUGAGCUUUAUCGCAAGAAUAUGGUACGAGCCUAUGAUAAACUCGUCAAGCCGCGAGUUUUCAGAAAAGGAGAACUGGUGCUGGUUCUUCGGCGUCCUAUUGUGCUCAUAGGAAAAGGUAAAGUAAAAUUUGAGCCCAAAUGCGAGGGGCCAUAUGUCAUUGAACAGGUUUAUGAUGGUGGCGCUUAUCAACUCAUUGAUCAAGAGGGUGUGUGUCCAAUGCUUCCUAUCAAUGGCAAGUUCCUCAGGAAGUAUUUUGCCUAGCAGCCCAAGGGCAAGUUCAGGAGAAUGUAAUAAAAAGAAAGGUUUUUUUUUUGGCUUGGUGUCCAUACAGCAUCCUCAUUGCUGAUCAUGGAUUAUUUUUCGUCUAAACAAAAUUUAAAUAAAAAUAAAAGGGGCACAGUUCGCCCUAAUAUAAAAUAAAAUAAAGGACUCCCCUUCCCAAUGUUCAGACUGUGGCACAUGAGUUUUAGUUGCAUGUGGAUUUGAUCGCCUGAGUGAGGUCAGGCAGAGCAACAAUUUUGGGUGUGAAGUUUAAAGUCCAAGAGACAUGUUCAUGAGAACUGCAUCUGAUGAGAACAUUCAUGAAGGGUGAUAAAUAACAAUAGGAGUUAUACAAAGCAAUGACAGCCAUGAGAAGUCUGAAUCCACACUUCUAUACAUCAAUCACGAGGUCCGGGCAGAUGAUCACUUGGGCAUAUGAAAGGCAUAUGAAUAUCCCUUGCAACUUUACUCAUGGGUCACCUCAUAGUCUAACAAUUGAAGGUGGAGCCCGCAAACCAACCAACAAACAAAAAAAAAACAAGGUGUUCGUAUAACUCUGUUUGCCAUCACUGUGUUUUUUUUCCUGCCUUUUAUCUCUUUUAUUAUUCAGUCUUAUGGCAUUUAGUGGUGCAAGACAUGUAUGUAUUUUAAAUUGUGAUUUGAGGUAAUCAUACUUUAUUUGGUUCUAAACCUUCUUCGCUAUGUUGACUUUUUAAAAUUCUUGGGGAGUGGCAUGAUGUUCGCCGUAACCCAGCAAUUAUUCGAUUCCACUGGCUGGCACUAUGAGCAUGUAAUAGUCGCAGUAGAAUUGAUAAACUCCCUUGAAUUAAGGCAGGUUCUUUCGCCCCAACUCAAGAUUAUUUUAUUUUUAAUGAUUAGGCAUGGAAGUCUCUGGUUGGCACCAAAACAGUAGCAUGGUCGCAGAGAGAGUUCACGAUAAUGGCACGGUACUUCGCCAGAAUCCGGAUUAUACAUACCAUGACAGUCAUUAAAUACAACCAUCCUUUUGGCUGGCACCAUCGUGGUCUCAAUUGGAUAUUUGAUUUUCAUGGCGUGGUCGCAGCAUGGAUUUUCGCUAUGGCCUCACCUGCUACUGAUUCAACCUGAAUAAUAUGUCUACUGUCAGCUUAUAGUAUGGUUUUACGCUAUGAGCCACGAUCAACAUUGCAACAUGGCAGGGAAUUUCGAUGUGUUCUCACCCAACAUUGUUUCCAUUUACAUGACGGCAGUCAAGCAGUAUGUCUGAUGCAUGGGACAGUCAUAUGGUAUUUCACGAUAGCUAGUACAGAAGAUUGCUAGCUGAUGAUGAUGCUAUCACUCAAGUACAAUCUGUUAAAUAUAGGAAAAAUGCAUUGUACAACAGAACAAUUAGCUUCACCUUAGAAUUACGAUGGAGGAGCCCUCGUUCUUUUGCGCCGAUUGAGGUACGGCUGCGUGCGUACCGAACUUGGGGGGGAAGUUUUAAGAGCUGAGCUGUGGAGAGUUAGGAUAAUGACGGUUCUUGACAUAGAAUCUGCAGGUUGGCCUGAUUAUUGAGGAUGGGAACAAAGCUUUAAGUCCGCAUGAUGGUUUGGGUCACUUGAGUUAUUUCUGAUAGUUGAGAUUGAGUUCUGGGGAUGUGAUAUGGUAAUACUGUUUCGCCAAUUUAAGUCCAAAUUGCUUCGCAUUUGAACUCAACUUGGCGAGGGGCAUUUGUUUGACUCCUCUUUUGUUUACCAUGUGAUGCACAGAUAUAUCUAAUCUAUUUGAUAUGAGCAGACCCUCGUCAGAUCAUGUCAGUGAGUAUAUAAUUGAUAAGAAAAAUCAAAUUUCUCUCGUAAAUAUAUAUUUGGUGACCUUCAAGGGGAAAAAGGGAAAAUCAUAUUAUGUUUAUGAAUUUUCAGGCCUAGUCACGUUAACGCAUGCACUUUGUGAUCAAAUGGAUUUAGUAGUAGUCGAUCAACCAGUUUGCUAAUGGAAUAAAUCGUGUGUGCAUGCACGGUCCAACCGGUCAACAACUAUCCAGGCGAAUGUUUGGUGUGUUGAAGUAGUAAAAUCUUGUACAGGUCUGCUGCUAAUUGGACGUGUUGAUGUUGAUACAAAACCAAGGUUCGUGGUCGCUAGGGAUAGAGAAAAUCAAUCAGUUGGGCUUGAAUAAAUCUACGAAGAGAUAAGUAUUGGUCAAGGCAUGCGGUCAGAGUUGGUUGUUUUUGGUUCAACAACGCCGAGAGAUUAGAGAUAAGAUAUGGUUUUUUACUAACGGCAGCGGCGACGAUGCUAAUCUCUCGUGCUUAUCUUCCUAUCUAUUCGCAUAGCUAGCCGGUGGAGACGAUGCUAUAAAAAGGCUGCUCGAGUGACUGCAAAGGAGGUUCAGCUCACUUACAUCGCACACACCAUUUUACACGCCCAUUCCACCACCAUUCACCGUAUUACUCAUAGACACACACACACACUUCGUAUCAUCUCCAUCUCAUCACUCACACAUACACACAUCUUCAUUUCCCGUUUGGCGUUUCCCUCCGUGGCCGCGUCGAUGGCACGGCCAUAUGGUGAGUAAAUCAUAUGAAGGUUGCAUAUGAUCAUUUAUCUCUUUUAUUUAUUUUUCUUCUCUUUGUUCACUUCUUUUUGUGGCAUCUCGCGGCUCUACAUGGCGAUCUAAUCGUCGCCGUGGAUGUCUCAUCGUUUGAUCUACAACAAAAAUCGGCGGUGUCCCGCGGCUCUACAUGACGAUCUAGUCGUCGCCGUGGAUAUCUCAUCGUUUGAUCUACAACAAAAAUCGGCGGUGUCCCGCGGCUCUACAUGGCGAUCUAAUCGUCGUCGCGGGUGUUUCCUUGUUUGAUCUAUAGAAAGAAUUUGGCGGCAUCCGCGGCUCUACAUGGCGAUCUAAUCGUCGCAGCGGACGUUCUAUCACCCGAUCUACAGAAAAACAGUUUGAUGGCAUCCCGUGGCUCUACAUGGCGAUCAAGUCGUCGCCACGGAUGUUUAUGGUUUGAUCAGUAAAAGGAAAAGGGAAGGUUAUGAUGUUUCGUGGCUCUAGCUGACGCUUCAAUCGUCGCCGUAAACAUUUCAUGGUGUGGAGUCACAAGGGAAAGCAAUAUAGCUUUACAAAAAGAAUCAACAUCAUCGUCCAGCAUACAUCAUAUAUUCAGAGGUAGCAAGGGGGUCACGUGAUAUACAAAGGAUGGUUUCUCAUCAUGAGAUAAUCCAAUAUUAAUAAAGACAUGGCUACCUACUCUCGAAUAAAAAAGACGCCAUUGACAAAAUUCUGCAGAACCAUGUUUCUCAAUCAGAUGAGGGUUCAUCUUCAAGUCCAUGCUCAAUACACUU
rnacentral:lncRNA from 1 species